rnacentral:lncRNA from 1 species
CGCGGUGGCGGCGGUUGGGGCCCUGAGGGUGGCGGCGGUUGGAGCCGCGCGGGCCGCGCUCGGCCCCGCACCGACAACCGCUGCGAGGGCGGUGCGGCCUGGGCUGCUGGGCCCCUCCCGCCGCCGCCGGGCUCCGGCCGCGUUCGCAGGCGCUCUGCCGUCCGUGUGGCGGGUGAGUCGUUUGCCUCUGCUGUUUUGUGAAGGUAGGAAAUGGCCAAGCCCUUGUGGAAGCCGUCCCGGAGGAGUCAGGUCAACUUGAAGGAACAAAUAAAAGAGAGAAACAAGAAAUCGGCAGGGCUGGGGAAAGCCUGCGAGCCCUCGUCUACAAGUGUCAGCGGCACGAUCAGCAGCCCCGCGCAGCUGAAGAGCAUCCAAGCCAACAACAGAGCUCUAGCGCUGGCUUUGCAGGAAGAGAAGCUCAAAGUGAGAGAAGCCCAUGAUGCCUUUCUGUUGUUAAAGGGAGAGAAUCAAUGCCUGAAGUUUCAGAUCUUUUGUUUACAAGCACUGCUUCAGUCACAGCAAUUGCAGAAUGAGGGAAUGUUUCCUUCAGUGCCUGUAAUGAUUCCUGUUGUCACUGGACAAGAGCAUUGUGCGGGAAUUCCACAGCAUACUGUGAAACUUGGAGAAAUCGCUGAGAGUAAGAUGAAGGCCACAACAGAUGACAGUAAGCCAGAUGGCUUUGUUUCAGAGGACUGCUGUGAAUCUACCAGUCUCUAUGCCAUAGAGGAAGUAGAAACAGAGUGUGGGGAAUCUUUUGAGCCUUCUUGUGAAUGUCUCCAGAAUGUUCCUGGCACGGCGUGCUCCCACCUCAGCACUGGGGUAACAGCACAUGAAAGGCCACUACCUCUGAAACACGGGCAGCGUGGUCCCAGGAACCGUGAAGCUUAGAAGAGAUGCUUUUGCAGACGAAUAUUGUCUGACGGCUCCAACUCUCCAGCAUAAAAAAAGAAAGAAUAAAAGAAAAAGAAGAAUCUCUUGAAAUAAAGGA